AAAUGCGAUAAGUAAUGUGAAUUGCAGAAUUCAGUGAAUCAUCGAAUCUUUGAACGCACCUUGCGCUCCUUGGUAUUCCUUGGAGCAUGCCUGUUUGAGUAUCAUGAAAUCUUCAAAGUAAAUCUUUUGUUAACUCAAUUGGUUUCUACUUUGGUAUUGGAGGUCUUUGCAGCUUCACACCUGCUCCUCUUUGUUCAUUAGCUGGAUCUCAGUGUUAUGCUUGGUUCCACUCGGCGUGAUAAGUUAUCUAUCGCUGAGGACACUGUAAAAGGUGGCCAAGGUAAAUUCAGAUGAACCGCUUCUAAUAGUCCAUUGACUUGGACAAUACUUUUAUGAUCUGAUCUCAAAUCAGGUAGGACUACCCGCUGAACUUAAGC
rnacentral:misc_RNA from 1 species